rnacentral:lncRNA from 1 species
AAGAGCCCUUCCUGCUCUUCCAUAGGACCCAAACUCAAUUUCUAGCACCUGCAUCAGGAAGCUCAGAGCUGCAUUUAUGUCUGUGUAUUACACACUUACAGAGAACCAACGCCAAUACCUGUCCUCCAUUGACCUAUUUCUAUCACUUUGGUGUAUGCUAAACCUAGUUGUCUAUAGAAAACCUGGAAAAUAAACUAUAUUUAUAAUGCAGCGAAGAGUAUAAUGUUCUAAAUUUGUAUUUUCCACUGGUAAAUAGAGUAGAUUUUGAAUGGGACUAUUUUAGGCAACUCUUCAAGAUGCUAAUGUAUUUUGAGGCUCACUCAUGAAUGAUGUUGAUGUUUCUUUAUCUAGCUGUGUGGUAUUUGCUCUUAUGCCCAUCACAGUAAGACCUAAGAAGUUAUUAAUGGUAUUCAUGCUAAGUGUAUUGGUGUAAGGUUUCUGUGGAGUUGAACACCAGGUGACCUCAACAUUUUCCAAUCUCCUUUUUCCUUGUAGAUUUCAUAUUUUAGAGACCGCCCCCCCCCCCCGCCAGAGCAUUUCUGCGAGAUAUUAUUUAUCUCUUUACCUCACUUAAUUAGGAACAAAAAUGCGAAGGUUUAAAACAUUAGACUAUACAUGUGUGCAUCUCAUUGUCUUCAAAGCAACAGCUCCACAACCGCAUUCUACGGCUCACCCUUGAGAGGAGAGUAAAGGCCUAUAGCCUCUUGCUCUUAGUGUGAAAUAACGUUUGGGGCUUUUUUUCUUUCUUUUUAUCAUCUAACCCAGAUAAGUGUUGAGUCACCUUUAAGAACUGCUAUCAUAAAAUAUGUGCAUAUAUUCACCUUUGAAAAUCCCCUUGUCAGAAUACAGCCCACAGCAUCUGAGGCAGUAAGACAGGGUGCUUGUGUGUGCACGCCCAUGGAUGCUUGUCUUUUCCUCUGUCUCCAGCUAUGGGAGCUCCUGAAGCCCAACACUCCACUGGAGUCUCGGGUUUCGAAGCAGUGGUGUGAGAUCGGCUUCCAAGGCGAUGAUCCGAAAACAGAUUUCCGAGGAAUGGGUCUUCUGGGACUUUACAAUUUGCAGUGAGUAAAAGAAAGGAUGGUUGAGCAUUAGGGCAAUGUGCUAGUCUGUUGGCCCUGAACCUGCAAAGAAGGGCUAUUGCUUUCAAAGGUCACAUCCCAGGAAGAUGGCGUAUAUCCUCUGAAGAGAGAAUUGGGUUCCUACAAUUUUUAAACUUGCCAGCACCUUGCCUAUAGUACAACAGACUUCAUAGAAAUGUUUAAAGCAGCUAUUAGAUACGGGUUUUUUAAUUUUUUAUUGUAAAACUUUAAGCCACGUGC